rnacentral:lncRNA from 1 species
AUUUUCGGGCUUGCAGAAACCCUUACAACCGGCAGUGAACGGUCUGCGACCGACGGUGAGGAGGUGAAGCAGGGAGUUGUCGGUUCGGGCGUACACAACGCCGUCCAACCCACAGCGACGAGGUUGAUGGAAGGAGCGGCUGUGAGAGGAAAUUGGGGAAGAAGGAGUUAGGAGGUUGGGGGAGGAACUACAGUAGUGCGUUGGGAGUGAUGCGAGGGCUCAGCCAAACCCGUGAAGAGAGAGAGAGAGGGGGGGGUGGGGUUAACAAACCCCACCCUGUCGGCCUUAUUCCCGCUUAACCCCUUUUGGGGUGGGGUUUGUUAACCCCACCCCAAAAUAUGGGUGUUUGGGAGUAAGUACGGGGUUAAGGGGUUAUUCCACCCCUUAACCCCAUACCAAACAGAGGCUAAAAAAUUUAUUGAUUUUACGUUUUUACAAAAAAAAGUUAUUUUUCAAAUUUUAUAAAUCACAUCUAGAGUUUUAGUAAACAAACCAAAUUAUUCUUAUUUCUCUUUUUCUUUCGUUUCAUUUUCUUUUUCGUUUUUCUUUUUCCUCUUCGUCGCUGUACCCCUCCUCCAUUGCCGCCGUGUCGACGCUGUGCUCCUCUCUUCUUUCUCGUUCGCACCACCACCAGCGCUGGCAGCAACGAUAUAUGCUCAUAUAUGGCACUUAUUGCAAAAAUAAGGUUGUGACACAGAGCGUGGCUCUAGACGGCAACGGUGACGGCGACGAAGGUGUUGUAGGAUUUAAGGACGAUGGAGGGAAUAGUGCAUUGGGAUGGAGGGAACAGUUGCGGUAAAGGACGAAGGAGAAAGUGCGGUUGAAAAAAUAUGUUGCAAAGAAUAGGAAAAAAAAAAGAAAUAAAAAAUAAUUUUCCUCUCUAGAGAACCCAUCACAUUCUGCGGCCAUUACAAAAAAAGUUCAAAAUAAAUUAUAUUAAAACUAUAUAAUUUAAAAUUAUU